rnacentral:rRNA from 1 species
AGUUUGAUCCUGGCUCAGGAUGAACGCUAGCUACAGGCUUAACACAUGCAAGUCGAGGGGCAGCGGGAUUGAAGCUUGCUUCAAUUGCCGGCGACCGGCGCACGGGUGAGUAACGCGUAUCCAACCUUCCGUACACUCAGGGAUAGCCUUUCGAAAGAAAGAUUAAUACCUGAUGGUAUGAUGAGAUUGCAUGAUAGCAUCAUUAAAGAUUUAUCGGUGUACGAUGGGGAUGCGUUCCAUUAGGUAGUAGGCGGGGUAACGGCCCACCUAGCCAACGAUGGAUAGGGGUUCUGAGAGGAAGGUCCCCCACAUUGGAACUGAGACACGGUCCAAACUCCUACGGGAGGCAGCAGUGAGGAAUAUUGGUCAAUGGACGAGAGUCUGAACCAGCCAAGUAGCGUGAAGGAUGAAGGUCCUACGGAUUGUAAACUUCUUUUAUAAGGGAAUAAACCCUCCCACGUGUGGGAGCUUGUAUGUACCUUAUGAAUAAGCAUCGGCUAACUCCGAGCCAGCAGCCGCGGUAAUACGGAGGAUGCGAGCGUUAUCCGGAUUUAUUGGGUUUAAAGGGAGCGCAGACGGGUCGUUAAGUCAGCUGUGAAAGUUUGGGGCUCAACCUUAAAAUUGCAGUUGAUACUGGCGUCCUUGAGUGCGGUUGAGGUGUGCGGAAUUCGUGGUGUAGCGGUGAAAUGCUUAGAUAUCACGAAGAACUCCGAUUGCGAAGGCAGCACACUAAUCCGUAACUGACGUUCAUGCUCGAAAGUGUGGGUAUCAAACAGGAUUAGAUACCCUGGUAGUCCACACGGUAAACGAUGGAUACUCGCUGUUGGCGAUAUACUGUCAGCGGCUUAGCGAAAGCGUUAAGUAUCCCACCUGGGGAGUACGCCGGCAACGGUGAAACUCAAAGGAAUUGAC